UCAUUUAUCAGCAAUCAGAGU
rnacentral:piRNA from 1 species